AAUUAUCUGGCUGACAAGGUCAAUAGUGUGAAGGCUGAGAAAGCUUUCUCUAGAUCCUAGAAGAUGAAUGGAGUAAGAUCCUCUCAGAUUCAGAAACUAAUGAGCAGAAGAGAACGAAGAUCAGUGGCCAGAAGAGAAUGAAGAUCAGCUUUAGAUACAGAUAAUCUACAGAUGAAUAUCCAAACCCAAAAUCACAUUUACUACAUGAAAUUAUUCCAA